rnacentral:rRNA from 1 species
GAUGAACGCUGGCGGCGUGCCUAAUACAUGCAAGUCGAGCGAACAGAUAAGGAGCUUGCUCCUUUGACGUUAGCGGCGGACGGGUGAGUAACACGUGGGUAACCUACCUAUAAGACUGGGAUAACUUCGGGAAACCGGAGCUAAUACCGGAUAAUAUUUCGAACCGCAUGGUUCGAUAGUGAAAGAUGGUUUGCUUUUCCCUAUUGAAGGACCCGCGCCGUAUUAGCUAGUUGGUAAGGUAACGGCUUACCAAGGCGACGAUACGUAGCCGACCUGAGAGGGUGAUCGGCCACACUGGAACUGAGACACGGUCCAGACUCCUACGGGAGGCAGCAGUAGGGAAUCUUCCGCAAUGGGCGAAAGCCUGACGGAGCAACGCCGCGUGAGUGAUGAAGGUCUUCGGAUCGUAAAACUCUGUUAUUAGGGAAGAACAUACGUGUAAGUAACUGUGCACGUCUUGACGGUACCUAAUCAGAAAGCCACGGCUAACUACGUG